CCCCAAAAUCGAGAGAGAGAGCGAGGUAGUGUUCCUAUUUAUGGAUUUUAUGAUUAAAUCUCAAAAAAAAUAACUUCAAUAUCAGGCUAAUUUUAUGAUUGUUGUUGCCGUCGUUCUUUUAUAUAUAUAAUAUAGAUAUAAUAUCAAUCUCAGAAAAAUAACUUUAAUCUUAGUUUCGUCUCUCUCUCAACGUUGCUCACCAUCGGAUCUGUACAUCUAUGUCGCGCGCCGUUUGAUCCCGUACAUCUCCGUCGCUGUCACCCGCCGUCGGUCUCCGUCAGUCGCGAUCAGCUCUCCGUCGUUUUUUGCGUUGUUGCUCAUUGUAGAUCACUAGUCCCAACUCUGCCUCCUCUCGUCAGCCCCACUAUGAGGCCACCUCCCCCACCAUCACGUUCAGGUAUGGAACUCUAGAUCAGACUUCAUAUGGUGUUGUUUUCUCUGAAUCAAUCACCAUAGCAUGGAUAGACAAUCUGAUUUACAUGUAAAGAUGAGUGUAUGAGAUCUCUAUGGGUUCAAUAAUAAAUGGACCAUGUAUUCUCAUUUGGUGAGAUGUAACAUUAAGCAAGUCGAAUUUAGUGAAUGUAAUUUUCGAUUUCAAAGCUGCAGGGAUGUAAAAUGGACAGUUAAUUCAUGGUUUGCUGUUUUUUUCAGCUUAUGGUGCUAGUGGAUUAUGCGGCUUCUAGUUUACUGGCUAUUUCACAUGCCCUGUAGAAUGGUCUACACUUAGCAGACUUUGUCAUGCCUAUGUUUCUUUUCGUUGAUGGAGUAUCUCUUGCGAUUGUAUACAAGCAUCAGAAAGUUCAAAACAGAUACGAAGCCACAUGGAAAGCACUAGUAAGAGCAGCGAAACUUUUUCUUCUUGGUGUUUUUCUUCAAGGUAAAUGUUGCGGAGAGUUGAUGAAAUCCAAAGAGAAACAGAAAAUGCUCGAUUCUGGAACUUUCAGUGUGGAUAUGGGAGGGUAUGCUCUCGAUUCUGGAACUUGCAGUUAGAGGUGCAGUAUUAGCACUUAGAUAUAAUGAGCAAUUUCCCAGGCUUCCGGGUGAUUUUGAGGUUUCUGCACGACGUAGAUCUAGGGAGGCCGACGAUCAUAGAUCAUGUAUUAUCCAUGAGGUUAAUAUUUGAAAAGGCAGAUAGUGGGAGAGGAAGAUAGUGUUGGCUACGAAUAUUGCUGAAACCAGUAUCACAAUUCAUGAUAUGGUUUUGGUAAUUGAUUGUGGCAAGGCCAAAUGGGCAUCGCAUAUGCACUUAACAAUACUCCUUGCCUUCUUUCUUUUGGGAUAUCCAAGGUUUCUCCUAAACAAGUUCAACAUGCUAUUGAAUAUAUGAAGAGAAUUGGUCCUUUGGAUGAGAAUGAAAAUUUGGAUCUAUCGGGUAUGUUGGGUCAUAUGAGUAAAUUCAUACUCUUCUAUCUGGGCUUUGCAAUAGAUUGAUCAAAUAUAGAUAUUUUAUUUUGGAUUUGAUGAGAUUUAUGAUAUCAAACAAACUAUAGUUGUAUACAUUAUUAUCUAAUUUUUUUUGAACUUUGAUUUUGUUAUCAAAAUAAAAUUUAUUGGU